rnacentral:rRNA from 1 species
UAAGGAAUAUUGGUCAAUGGAGGCAACUCUGAACCAGCCAUGCCGCGUGGAGGAUGAAGGUCCUCUGGAUUGUAAACUUCUUUUAUAUGGGACGAAAAAAGGCUUUUCUAAGUCGUCUGACGGUACCAUAUGAAUAAGCACCGGCUAACUCCGUGCCAGCAGCCGCGGUAAUACGGAGGGUGCAAGCGUUAUCCGGAUUCACUGGGUUUAAAGGGUGCGUAGGUGGGUUGGUAAGUCAGUGGUGAAAUCCCCGAGCUUAACUUGGGAACUGCCAUUGAUACUAUCAGUCUUGAAUACCGUGGGAGGUCGGCGGAAUAUGUCAUGUAGCGGUAGAAAUGCUUAGAUAUGACAUAGAACACCAAUUGCGAAGGCAGCUGGCCUAGCGGAUAUUGACACUGAGGC